rnacentral:rRNA from 1 species
AUUGAACGCUGGCGGCAGGCCUAACACAUGCAAGUCGAACGAGUGGCGGACGGGUGAGUAAUGUCUGGGAAACUGCCUGAUGGAGGGGGAUAACUACUGGAAACGGUAGCUAAUACCGCAUACCAUCGGAUGUGCCCAGAUGGGAUUAGCUAGUAGGUGGGGUAAAGGCUCACCUAGGCGACGAUCCUUAGCUGGUCUGAGAGGAUGACCAGCAACACUGGAACUGAGACCCGGCCCCGACUCCUAGGGGAGGCAGCAGUGGGGAAUAUUGCACAAUGGGCGAAAGCCUGAUAAAGCCACGCCGGGUGUAUGAAGAAGGCCUUCGGGUUGUAAAGUACUUUCAGCGGGGAGGCGUUACCUGCUGAAGAAGCACCGGCUAACUCCGUGCCAGCAGCCGCGGUAAUUC